CAUUUUUAGAAAUAGUUACUCUGAGGUUGACAGCUGUCACUUUUCUAAAUGAGUAUUUACAGAACAAACUGAAAGAGACAUUUUUCAUAGUCAGAAUUGUUCAUUAAGUCUUGCUUUCCAGUAACAAUUAUAUAGUGACUUCUUAUGCCCAACAUGUGAGAGUUAAAGAUCAGUGGGUGUUGGGCAUGGUGGCUCACACCUGUAAUCCCAGCAGUUUGGGAGGUGGAGGUGGGAGGAAUGCUUGAACUGAGGAGUAUGAGACCAGCCUGGGCAACAUAGCGAGACCUCAUCUCUAGAAAAAAAUUUAAAAAAUCAGCCAGGUAUGGUGGUGCAUACCUGUGGUGGUGUAGUCCCAGCUGAUUGGGAGGCUGGAGUAAGAUCACUUGAGCAAAGGAUUUACUCAAAGUUUGCUUAGUAAAAUCUCAGCUCACUGCAGCCUUGACCUCCUGGGCUCAAGUGAUCCACCUCAGCCUCCUGAAUAUAAGCAAGAAGGUUGCUCCCUUACCCAGCUUGUUUAUCACAGGUCACCAGCUUCCCAGUUUCCACAUAUUAUCAAAUGACAGUGCCCCACACCACUGAAUGUUUUUUAAAUAACUCAUUAACCCCACAUCUGUUACCAAUUUUGAGUUUUUUUCUUUUCAGUCUUAUUUCUAGGAAUGUUUUCUGUGUAUGUAUAAGUACAUACAUGUGUACUUAUGUAUGUAUGUAUAAGUACAUACAUGUGUACUUAUGUAUGUANNNNNNNNNNNNNNNNNNNNNNNNNNNNNNNNNNNNNNNNNNNNNNNNNNNNNNNNNNNNNNNNNNNNNNNCUGAGUAGUUGGGAAUAGAGGUGUGCACCACCACGCUUGGUGAUUUUUUUUUUUUAAUUUCUGUAGAGACAGGGGUUCUUGCUAUGGAUGAACCAAAGGCCUGAAGCAGACCCCAGUCACAGAAGAAAGGGGCAGAUUCCAGAGACGUUUCUGAGGUAUUUCUGAUAGAAGCUGGUGGCCUACUGGAUGUGUGGAGGAUCAGAGAGAAAGGAAGACACUGGCAUCACUCCACUCAGUUGUUACUUCAUCUAGAGGUUCAACUCUCAAAAGUAGACUCGGAAGUAAGUCUUUGGUCUUGCAGUCCGGAUAACUGGAAAUCUGAUGAUACAGCUCAUGAUGAAUUGAGCACUAAAAUAUUACAUCAAAAGAGUUAGCAUUGCUAAAUCUCAAAUAAAGUCUACAAAUUCAUAAUCAUGAAAAUAAGGUACUUAUCAUAAGGGCACAAUAUGUUUUCUUUUGUAGCUGUUAUAUAUACUAUAAAUAAGUUACUCUUGACAGCUGCAGAAGGGACAUUUUACAUGCAAGACAACCACAUAAUAGAAGUCCAGUAUGAACAAACCAUUAUAUGUCUCUGGUUUGAGUCUGUGGUUAUUUGCAUAACUGGUAAUCGGUAAUUGGAGCAACUUGCGUGCAGGAACAACCACAGAACAGAGUCUUCUGUGACUUGUGUUUAUCUAAGUUAUCUCUCUUAAUGACUUUUUUGAGAAAAAUUCCAUUUUGAAGUAAAAGUAAAAUAUGGGAAAAGAAAAAGGUCUUCCAACUUGACUUGCUCAUAUUUUAACCCUUAUUUCUUAUAAUUUUAUGGACGCUAAGAACUCAUAACAGGUAAUUUUUUCAUUAUGAUAUGAUCUUUUCAUAUGAUGCUAUUUGUAUGAUGAUACAUAUGAUCUUUUCAUAUAAUGACAUUCUGUGGUACAAGUACCAUCAUUUCCCCCCAGCGUAAGCUCCAUAAGGGGAAAAAUCCCUUAAGUAGUAUGGAAUAGGAACAGCUCCGGUCUGCGGCUCCCAGCGAGACCAACACAGAAGGUGGGUGGUUUCUGCGUUUCCAACUGAGGUAUGUGGCUCAUCUCACUGGGACUGUUUAGACAGUGGGUGCAGCCCAAGGAGGGUGAGCAGAAGCAGGGUGGGGCGUCGCCUCACCC
rnacentral:lncRNA from 1 species